rnacentral:rRNA from 1 species
AGCAGCCGCGGUAAUUCCAGCUCCAAUAGCGUAUAUUAAAGUUGUUGCAGUUAAAAAGCUCGUAGUUGAAUUUCGAGAUCAGUACGCUGGUCGUGCCUUUGGUAUGCACUGGUGUCACUGGUUUCUCCCUUCUGAAGAACCGUCAUGUCAUUAAGUUGGUGUGGCGGGGAAUCAGGACUGUUACUUUGAAAAAAUUAGAGUGUUUAAAGCAGGCUCGCGCUUGAAUACAUUAGCAUGGAAUAAUGAAAUAGGACGUUUGACCCUAUUUUGUUGGUUUCUAGGAUCGACGUAAUGAUUAAUAGGGAUAGUUGGGGGCAUUAGUAUUCAAUUGUCAGAGGUGAAAUUCUUGGAUUUAUUGAAGACUAACUACUGCGAAAGCAUUUGCCAAGGAUGUUUUCAUUAAUCAAGAACGAAAGUUAGGGGAUCGAAGACGAUCAGAUACCGUCGUAGUCUUAACCAUAAACUAUGCCGACUAGGGAUCGGAUGAUGUUAAUUUUUAAUGACUCAUUC